GCAGCGACUGUAAAGAAAUGCGUAGUUUGCUUGCAAGCAAUGCCACUCAAAUGCUGAGACAUCUGAAUCAGCAGCCUUCUAGGCUCACAGAUCAAAUUGUGGUAACCAUUCUUAUGGGCAAGAUAUGACCGGUCUUAACUAGAGUUAGUUAAGAAUCCACGUUCCGUAGGUGAACCUGCGGAAGGAUCAUUAAAGGUUUCGGGUACCCAGUGCCCAAACUUCAACCCUAUGUUUUAACUAUACAUGUUUCUUUGCCGGUUUCGGCCGGCAGAAGUUUUCUCAAACUCAUUAUUAAAUGUGUCUUCUGAAUCUAAAUUAAAUAAAUUAAAACUUUCAACAACGGAUCUCUUGGUUCUGGCAUCGAUGAAGAACGCAGCGAAAUGCGAUAAGUAAUGUGAAUUGCAGAAUUCAGUGAAUCAUCGAAUCUUUGAACGCAUAUUGCGCCCUUUGGCAUUCCGAAGGGCAUACCUGUUCGAGCGUCAUUACACCCCUCAAAGAUAACUCUUUGGCGUUGGGCAAUGCCUAAAGGCAUGCCUCAAAAUCAGCGAUGGUGAUAUUCAACCACAGGCGCACAAAUGUCGUCUAGCUGGCGGGAUGUUGUCAGUCAAUUGAUGAAUUUCUAAAUGUUGACCUCGGAUCAGGCAGGAAUACCCGCUGAACUUAAGCAUAUCAAUAAGCGGAGGAA
rnacentral:sRNA from 1 species